rnacentral:tRNA from 1 species
ACCUACUUGACUCAGCGGGUAGAGUAUCGCUUUCAUACGGCGAGAGUCAUUGGUUCAAAUCCAAUAGUAGGUA